rnacentral:rRNA from 1 species
UGGGGAAUAUUGCACAAUGGGCGCAAGCCUGAUGCAGCCAUGCCGCGUGUAUGAAGAAGGCCUUCGGGUUGUAAAGUACUUUCAGCGGGGAGGAAGGGAGUAAAGUUAAUACCUUUGCUCAUUGACGUUACCCGCAGAAGAAGCACCGGCUAACACCGUGCCAGCAGCCGCGGUAAUACGGAGGGUGCAAGCGUUAAUCGGAAUUACUGGGCGUAAAGCGCACGCAGGCGGUUUGUUAAGUCAGAUGUGAAAUCCCCGGGCUCAACCUGGGAACUGCAUCUGAUACUGGCAAGCUUGAGUCUCGUAGAGGGGGGUAGAAUUCCAGGUGUAGCGGUGAAAUGCGUAGAGAUCUGGAGGAAUACCGGUGGCGAAGGCGGCCCCCUGGACGAAGACUGACGCUCAGGUGCGAAAGCGUGGGGAGCAAACAGG